AGAAUGAUAAUUCUGUUGGCAUUUAAUUAGACACUGUACCACACAAUGAGUUGAUAGAGAUCACCAAUUAUAACUUGUAAGCUCGACAUCCUCAGACUUAAUAUUCCAAAUAAUAAAUCGCACCAAAACAAUCCAUUAUUUUAUUUGCAAUUCUGUUGUUAUGUUUAGUAUGCACAUUGAUUUUACCGAAGUAUCAUAUCAACGUAGUACACCAUGUAUUAACAAUGUAUGUGAAUGCCUUUUAAACUAUCGAGAGUUCAUUUGGUUUCAUUACUGAUAUACACGUGCCAUGAUCAAUAGCUUCAGUUUGCAGUACUCUUUAUAAAUCUUCGUUCGUAUCGCUAGCAGAAUGAUGUGGAGCCAGCAAAAAGAAGCUUGC